UNGGCGGAAUACUGGGCGUAAAGAGUUCGUAGGCGGUUUGUCGCGUCGUUUGUGAAAACCAGCAGCUCAACUGCUGGCUUGCAGGCGAUACGGGCAGACUUGAGUACUGCAGGGGAGACUGGAAUUCCUGGUGUAGCGGUGAAAUGCGCAGAUAUCAGGAGGAACACCGGUGGCGAAGGCGGGUCUCUGGGCAGUAACUGACGCUGAGGAACGAAAGCGUGGGUAGCGAACAGGAUUAGAUACCCUGGUAGUCCACGCCGUAAACGGUGGGCGCUAGGUGUGGGUUCCUUCCACGGAAUCCGUGCCGUAGCUAACGCAUUAAGCGCCCCGCCUGGGGAGUACGGCCGCAAGGCUAAAACUCAAAGGAAUUGACGAGA
rnacentral:rRNA from 2 species